AGAGUUUGAUCCUGGCUCAGAUUGAACGCUGGCGGCAUGCCUUACACAUGCAAGUCGAACGGCAGCACGGGGGCAACCCUGGUGGCGAGUGGCGAACGGGUGAGUAAUACAUCGGAACGUGUCCUGUAGUGGGGGAUAGCCCGGCGAAAGCCGGAUUAAUACCGCAUACGCUCUACGGAGGAAAGGGGGGGAUCUUAGGACCUCUCGCUACAGGGGCGGCCGAUGGCAGAUUAGCUAGUUGGUGGGGUAAAGGCCUACCAAGGCGACGAUCUGUAGCUGGUCUGAGAGGACGACCAGCCACACUGGGACUGAGACACGGCCCAGACUCCUACGGGAGGCAGCAGUGGGGAAUUUUGGACAAUGGGGGCAACCCUGAUCCAGCAAUGCCGCGUGUGUGAAGAAGGCCUUCGGGUUGUAAAACACUUUUGUCCGGAAAGAAA
rnacentral:rRNA from 1 species